ACCAACCAAUCUCCCUCUCUCUCUUAUUCAUUAUUCGUCACUCACUCUCCCUCUCCCUCUCUCUAAUCUUGUACGUAUAUUUAUACCCCCUUGAUCUCUUUGAUUUUGCAUAUUCAUCUCUUGAAUUGUACUUCUUUCUUCUCUUUGGUUGAUCAAGUCUUGUGUGUUUGAGUAUCUUCUGCUUUUUAAUUCUCAUCUACAUAUAUGUUCUUUCUUGUUUCACUUUCUUUUUUUUUUCUUGAUGGGUAUGUAUUUUUUUAGAUUUUAGGGUUAGGAUUAGGGUUAGGGUUCCCUUUGUGACCAAUUAAUGAAACCAUGAUUCCUCUCUUUUUCUCCAUGAUGAUUGUGGAGAUCUGAUUAUUUAAAGCAGCUCAGCAGUCGUUGUUUGCAGAUGCAGCAUCUUCAAGAUUCACAAAUCCCUUUAGGGUUUCCAAAUCUGGGUAUCCCUCUUUGAUGAUAUAUGAGAAUCUUGAUGAUGCUGCAGCGGCAAUAAAUGGCUUUUUUUUUAAGUUUCUUGAGAGAUUUAUUCAAUUGUUCGAAGAUGGCGCUCUUGUUAUGGUUCCCUAGCAGCUCCAAAUGCUCAAGAACAGUAUCUGCUCCGGGAGACUGACGAUGAAGCAGAAACUUUUACUUUUGGUGGUGAUGAUGGCAUUUUAGUGAUUUUUUGAACUGUGUGUGAACAUCUGGGGUUCAGACGUUAUACAGUAGGUAUGUUUGUCUGUACUUUGAAGCUACAACUCUAUUGAACUACAAGAUAAAGCUUGGGGAUGCUUUUAAUAUUUAUUGGUCACUUGGGGGUUUUCUUUACUUUUUCUUAGUACUUCUCUGUAGAUCUUGAUUGCCAUCUUGCUAUGGUGUGCCAAACAGUCAUUCUCUCUGCAAUCCUACACCAAAUGGUUGAUCAUUGGAGUUUUUGCUUGUUCUGGGUCUUUAGACAUGUUUUGAUUUUACUAUAGGGCUUUAAAUGGGAAGAUAUUUUGUUCA